AACGAACGCUGGCGGCAGGCCUAACACAUGCAAGUCGAGCGCCCUUUCGGGGGAGCGGCGGACGGGUGAGUACCGCGUGGGAAUAUGCCCUUCUCUACGGAAUAGCCUCGGGAAACUGAGAGUAAUACCGUAUACGCCCUGUGGGGGAAAGAUUUAUCGGGGAAGGAUUAGCCCGCGUUGGAUUAGGUAGUUGGUGGGGUAAUGGCCUACCAAGCCGACGAUCCAUAGCUGGUUUGAGAGGAUGAUCAGCCACACUGGGACUGAGACACGGCCCAGACUCCUACGGGAGGCAGCAGUGGGGAAUCUUAGACAAUGGGGGCAACCCUGAUCUAGCCAUGCCGCGUGAGUGAUGAAGGCCUUAGGGUUGUAAAGCUCUUUCAGCUGGGAAGAUAAUGACGGUACCAGCAGAAGAAGCCCCGGCUAACUCCGUG
rnacentral:rRNA from 1 species